UGAGUACGAGAUGCUACGGCAUCGAAGCAGUCUAUGUCAUACUUCCAAGAAAAGCUUGCAAUGUCAUAAACAAAUAAUGCCUGUACCAUAACCGACACAGGUGGGUAGGUAGAGUAUACUAAGGGGCGCGAGAUAACUCUCUCUAAGGAACUCGGCAAAAUGACUCCGUAACUUCGGGAGAAGGAGUGCCUUAUUUUUAUAAGGUUGCAAUAACAAGAUCCAAGCAACUGUUUACCAAAAACACAGGUCUCCGCUAAGUCGUAAGACGAUGUAUGGGGGCUGACGCCUGCCCAGUGCCAGAAGGUUAAAGAAGUUGGUUAGCAUUAGCGAAGCUGAUAACUGAAGCCCUGGUGAACGGCGGCCGUAACUAUAACGGUCCUAAGGUAGCGAGAUUCCUUGUCGGGUAAGUUCCGACCCGCACGAAAGGCGUAAUGAUUUGGAUACUGUCUCGGAGAGGGGCUCGGUGAAAUAGACUUGUCUGUGAAGAUGCGGACUACCUGCACCUGGACAGAAAGACCCUAUGAAGCUUUACUGUAACUUGAGAUUGAAAUUGGACUUUAUCUGCGCAGUAUAGGUGGGAGACGUUGAAAAUAUUCUUGCGGGAAUAUUGGAGUCAUCAGUGAGAUACCACUCUUAUAAUGUUAGAUUUCUAACUUUGUAUCAUUAUCUGGUCAAAGAACAGUUUCAGGCGGGCAGUUUGACUGGGGCGGUCGCCUCCCAAACGGUAACGGAGGCGCACAAAGGUUUCCUCUGAACGUGUAGAAAUCGUAUCUAGAGUGUAAAGGCAUAAGGAAGCUUGACUGUGAGACCUACAAGUCGAGCAGGGACGAAAGUCGGUCUUAGUGAUCUGACGGUGCUGAGUGGAAAGGCCGUCACUCAACGGAUAAAAGUUACUCUAAGGAUAACAGGCUGAUCUCCCCCAAGAGUUAACAUCGACGGGGAGGUUUGGCACCUCGAUGUCGGCUCAUCGCAUCCUGGGGCGGUAGUACGUCCCAAGGGUUGGGCUGUUCGCCCAUGAAAGCGGUACGCGAGCUGGGUUCAGAACGUCGUGAGACAGUUCGGUCCAUAUCCGGUGUAGGCGUUAGAAUAUUGAGAGGAGCCUUCUUUAGUACGAGAGGACCGAGAAGGACAUACCUCUGGUGUACCAGUUAUCGUGCCAACGGUAAACGCUGGGUAGCCAUGUAUGGAGAGAUAACCGCUGAAAGCAUCUAAGUGGGAAGCCCACCUCAAGAUAAG
rnacentral:rRNA from 1 species